rnacentral:rRNA from 1 species
AGUAGUUUGAUCCGUGGCUCAGGACACGCUGGCGGCGUGCUUCAUACAUGCAAGUCGAACGAGAAUCUCUAGCUUGCUAGAGAGGAAAGUGGCGGACGGGUGAGUAAUGUGUAGAGAAUCUGCCCUGGAGAGGGGGACAACAGAGGGAAACUCCUGCUAAUACCCCAUAUGCGCGUAGUUGCGAUACUAUUCGUGAAAGAUUUAUCGCUCCAGGAUGAGUCUGCAUCUGAUUAGCUAGUUGGGGGUGUAAUGGACCACCAAGGCGACGAUCAGUAGCUGGUUUGAGAGGAUGAUCAGCCACAAUGGGACUGAGACACGGCCCAGACUCC